AUAUCAAAAUAAUAGCCAAUUUUGCCUAUAUAAAGGAAGCUCCCCAUUUUGGUUCCUGCAUCCAAGAUUUGAGAGAAAUUCCAUUUUGUGAGAGAGAGAAAAAAAAUUAUGAGUUGUGUGAGAGAUUAAAAGCUCUAAUACUUUUGUGUAAUUACUGAGUGAGAGAUUGAGUAUAUUGAGGUUCUGGGAAGUGAGCCAAAAUAUUACAAUAUUUGUAAUUCUCAUUUCACUAGUAAAAUAUUUUCAUUUUGUUUUUGCUCGUGCACGUAAGUUAAAAGCCGAACCACGUAAUUUUCUGAUGUCCUCCUUAUGCUUGUUCUUUAUUUUCGUCCAAUUUCAUUUUAGCUGUGGCGCUGCUUCACCCACCAAUUUUCCUAACAUUUUACUGGGCUGUAACCGAAGAGAAGUUUUACUAUGACAACCUAGUAAUUUGAACUAUCAUUCUUAAUAGUAAUGAAUAGAGGUGUCAACUAUUAGGUUAAGGAAUGAUCGAUAGUUCAAAGCCAUAUUUUCAAUUUAUUAUUUUUGUUAUAUGUUUCAAGCCAAAUUCCUAGGGGUGAGUUUGAUAAUGGCUCUUCUUUUCCUAUUGGUCGCAUUUCAUGUAAAUCAAUUUAUUGGAAACCGAUACUUGAACUUGGUCGCUAAGAAAAUCCAAAACGCCAGUUAAUUACAUUAGAUGAUAAUUAUGUGAAAAGAUUCUAAUUGCUGCUGGAGAAAGGGAAAGAAGUCAUGUAAAGACUGAUAGAUAGCUCACCUGUAUAUAUGAAACAAGGGUGAGAGUUUGAUAAUAAUUUUUAAAAUUAUUGUUGUUAGCUGUGCCAUAACAAUAAUUAGAAGUGAAAAGUAUUCGUUAUGUGUUAAAUAAAUUUUAUUUUAAAGGUAUCGUGA
rnacentral:lncRNA from 1 species